UCUCCCCAAAACCUCUAGCACACAUAAGAUAUCAAACCCUGGACAAUGAGGCCACAGCAGAACUUCAAGAAAAAGUCAUAGUUUUAAAUGUGUCUGUGAUCAAAGAAGAAAAAGGUAGAAAAAAAAAAAGUGUCCUGAGAUCCACCUGAGAAUCUAGAAAAAGCACAAACCAAAUGGAUGUAAGAAAAAGACAAUAAACACUAAAGCAGAAAUUAAAGCUUUAGAAAACAGAAAACACAGCUGACACAUCUAUGCACUUUCAAGUUACAUAAAACUCUGGCAAAGCUAAUUAAAGAAAAGAAAAAUUAAUACAUGACAUUAGAAAUUAAGAAAGCGAAAAAAUCAGAUAAGGGAACUGCAAAGCAAUGACUAUAUACACAAAUAAAUUUGAAAGUCGCUCCCUUUCACAUGAAACACAAAGUCAACUUCGUGUAUCAACAGCCACAGGAAACACGAAUCAGAGAGCUGCAAAGACCCGCCCCUCUGAAAAGGUGCCAGGCUCAGUUUCACCAGAUUUCUUUCAAAUCUUUAAGGAAUAAUAUUAUUGAAAUUAAAUCGUUCCACAGUAUAAAGGAAGAAUCAAAUCUUCAUUAUCCAUUAUUUGAAAUUACUAUUACUGUAAUACCAACAUGUGACAAUGAAAACAUGAAAUCAUACCAUGAAACAGGUCAACAUUGUUUCACUAUUUCAAUGAAAAUCAUAGGUCAAUCUCAUUAACAAACAUAGAUGCAAAACUCCCACAUUAAUAGUUCAAAUUAGCCCUAGCUUGUGUGGCUCAGUAGAUUGAGUGCCCACCUGUGAACCAAAGGGUUGCCUGUUCGAUUCCCAGUCAGGGCACAUGCCUGGGUUGCUGACUAGGUCCCCGGUAGCGGGUGUGUGAAAAGUAACCACACACUGAUGUUUCUCUCCCUUUUUUUCUCUCCCUUCCCCUCUCU